UUCUCUCCAGAUUAUUUCACCAUCAGAAAAGCACUUCUUUCCAUAUGAGAAGCUAAAAAUUUCUGCUUUUCUUCAGCUUGAAGUGCUUUUGGCUGAAAAUUGACCAAAUUAACUUGUCCUCUUCUCCCACAAACUUUCUCCUCUGCACUUUCACGCCCAGUCUCUCCUCCUUCAUUCCUUCAUUUCUGUUAGAAAAUUUGCCUGAGAUUAUCGAUUUUCCAGUAAUCCCCCACUCUCCUCCUUCUUUCCUUCAUUCCUUCAUUCCUCUCUGUCGAUUAUCGCCGUGGUUUUCUAUGGGUUCGAACUCGUAUUGGAACCUGGACGAACGGAUAUCGCAGCUGACUUGCACUUUAUCGGAGCAGGAGGUACAUAUAUUUUCUUCCCCCAACGUAACAGAUCUGUUUCAAAUUUCUUCAUUUGCGGUUUGAUCUACAGCUUUUGCCACCUGUCCAUUUUUUGUUUAGUAUUUUCUCUGUAUUGGUUUUUGAGACUAGAAAUUAAUAGCCUCAAAAUGUUCUUAGAGGGUAGAAAUGUUCUGAAUUUUUAUUUUUCAUUUGAUGAGUUAAAUAAAAAAGGGAAAAAUCGGGAGAAGAAAGCUUUGUUUUCUUAUUGUUUAUCGUCAUAAUUUUGUGUUUUUAGUUUCUUCAAUUCAAAAGUUUUCUCAUUACAGCUAUUGAGUUUCCAGUUCAGUUGUUUUUGGUUCCAAUCUGACUCGUCGAGUCAGACUUUCAUCGACUCGGUUGUGGCUCGGAUCAAUUGUAGAGAGAAGAUCGUUUGCAUAUACUUGUCAUGGUAAUCCAUUGCUUUAGCGGUUUUUAAUUGCGGUUGAGUUGAAUCGGUUGAACAUGGCAUCUUGUUUUCUGAUUCUUUACUUUAAUUUUAUUUGUUAGAUAUUUAUAGCUUUGGCAAGCUUAAAUUUUAUAGGAAAUUCUUUAAUGGAUUCGAUGUGAUCUGUUUUUUGUUUCAUCUUGUUUUUUUUAUUAUUUAAAUUUAUAUGAAAAGCAUUCAAGUAUAUCAGCUUUAGUUUUUGCUUUAGUUUUUUUCGUGCGCACUUGACCAUGGGAUGGUUGAGUGCCCUAUUAGAGAAGGCCGAUGGAUAGACCCAAUAUCUAUCAGUACUCGCGAUCUGGGGAGUACCUAGGCAACUUAUAAGGUCUCUACAUUGAGGGAAAACCUGCUCUAAGUGAAAAAAAGGGAAGUUAACUUUUUCAUAACCUCUGUUUUAUUUUCCUUGGGCAUUGGAACAAUCACAAGUGCAGGAAAUAACUGGUCAUAUUUUGUGUGGAUAAUAUAUAGAGCGGAGUGAUCUAGAACCUAGCUUUGACAGCAAAUUAUACCUUAAUUAGAUAGAGGUAGUUCACCUCAAGUAUAGGUAGAAUGAGGGUGAUGAGCUCCUUGGUUUGACCAUGGUGCCCGAUGCUUCUGAUGGGAUGAUGCACGAUCACUAUCUUCCACUUAUCAACUGAUUCCCUCAGUGCGCAUCUCAAUUUCUCAAACUAGUAGACACGAUACUUUUACAUUAAUCCUGAAAAUGUAUGAUAAAUGAUCUUGUGUGCUAGAGUAAUUGAUGGCUUUACAUGCUGUUCUAAAGAUCAGCUGGUGUUUCUUGGCACAUGUUAUGAGUGAUUAUAUGCUUUGUAAAUGAUCAAUCAUCUUUAACAAUAGUUGGAAAUCCGCAAUAGUACAUUGUUACAGCUAGUUUUGCUUUAUGGUUAUAUUUUAUCACAGUAAAAGAUAAACUGCAGCCAGAGUUUUAUCAAGUCUUUCCAAAGCAGAGAGGUUUUCACACUUGCAGUUUCUGACUGUAUUUAGGAUUGGAUUUCUUUUCAUAUGGCAGAUGUAUGGUCUUGUGGAGUGACUCUUUGCGUUAUGUUGGUAUGUGCAUGUUUGUACGUGUGUUUUCUUGUUUUUAUUUUGUGCUUCUUUUUUCUUUUUUUCUUAUCUUGUGCUGAAGCAUGAUCUUGUAAACUGUCUAUUCCUUUGGAGUUGUGUUUGGUCAUAAUCCAUAAAGAAACUUUCUUGCUAAAUGAGGAAAAAGUAUGAAGCAG
rnacentral:lncRNA from 1 species